rnacentral:rRNA from 1 species
UAGGGAAUCUUCCACAAUGGACGCAAGUCUGAUGGAGCAACGCCGCGUGAGUGAAGAAGGUUUUCGGACCGUAAAGCUCUGUUGUUGGUGAAGAAGGAUAGAGGUAGUAACUGGCCUUUAUUUGACGGUAAUCAACCAGAAAGUCACGGCUAACUACGUGCCAGCAGCCGCGGUAAUACGUAGGUGGCAAGCGUUGUCCGGAUUUAUUGGGCGUAAAGCGAGCGCAGGCGGAAGAAUAAGUCUGAUGUGAAAGCCCUCGGCUUAACCGAGGAAUUGCAUCGGAAACUGUUUUCUUGAGUGCAGAAGAGGAGAGUAGAACUCCAUGUGUAGCGGUGGAAUGCGUAGAUAUAUGGAAGAAUACCAGUGGCGAAGGCGGCUCUCUGGUCUGCAACUGACGCUGAGGCUCGAAAGCAUGGGUAGCGAACAGGAUUAGAUACCCCUUGGUAGUCCAUGCCGUAAACGAUGAGUGCUAAGU